UACGUAGGGGGCAAGCGUUGUCCGGAAUUACUGGGCGUAAAGGGCUGGUAGGCGGCCAACUAAGUCGGAUGUGAAAUCCCCAGGCUUAACCUGGGAACUGCAUCCGAUACUGGUCGGCUUGAAUCCGGGAGAGGGAUGCAGAAUUCCAGGUGUAGCGGUGAAAUGCGUAGAUAUCUGGAGGAAUACCGGUGGCGAAGGCGGCAUCCUGGACCGGCAUUGACGCUGAACAGCGAAAGCUAGGGGAGCAAACGGG
rnacentral:rRNA from 1 species